CAGACAUUUAGCAUCAUUAACCUUUUCAUCAUGCUCUCAACUACCAUUUGUUUAUGCUCUGAACUCCAAAAGGGAAUUCACAGCUUUCUGCCCCUGAGAAGGCACCAGAAGGCCUCCUGCAUGCUACAGUGGCCCGCCAAGACCUCCAGGGCUGAGGGCACCAGUAGAGCAGCUUCGGCACACAUCUUCAGUGUGGUCUCCUGGCUUCCACUGGCAGGUUCACCUAUUUGAAAGGCAGAAUGGCAGAGAGAAGAUCUUACAUCUGUUGAUCCCCCCACCCCAAAUGACCACAAUGGAUGUGGCUGAAGCCAGCAGCCCAGAACUCCAGCUGAG